CAUGCCGUAAACGUUGGGUGCUAGACGUGGGGGCCUUUCCACGGUUUCCGUGUCGUAGCUAACGCAUUAAGCACCCCGCCUGGGGAGUACGGCCGCAAGGCUAAAACUCAAAGGAAUUGACGGGGGCCUGCACAAGCGGUGGAGCAUGUGGUUUAAUUCGAAGCAACGCGCAGAACCUUACCAACGUUUGACAUCCUUAUCGCGAUUAGCAGAGAUGCUUUUCUUCAGUUCGGCUGGAUAAGUGACAGGUGC
rnacentral:rRNA from 1 species